rnacentral:rRNA from 1 species
AUUGAACGCUGGCGGCAGGCCUAACACAUGCAAGUCGAGCGAGCGGCGGACGGGUGAGUAAUGUAUGGGGACUGCCCGAUAGAGGGGGAUAACUUCUGGUAACGGUGGCUAAUACCGCAUACUAUCGGAUAACCCAUAUGGGAUUAGCUAGUAGGUGGGGUAAAGGCUUACCUAGGCGACGACCUCUAGCUGGUCUGAGAGGCUGUACAGCCACACUGGGACUGAGAAACGGCCCAGACUCCUACGGAGGCAGCAGGGGGGAAUAUUGCACAGUGGGCGCAAGCCUGAUGCAGCCGUGCCGCGUGGAUGAAGAAGGCCUUAGAGUUGUAAAGUACUUUCAGCGGGGAGGCGUUACCCGCAGAAGAAUCACCGGCGAACUCCGAGCCAGCAGCCGCGGUAAUUC